CUGACACAGGUGCUGCAUGGCUGUCGUCAGCUCGUGUCGUGAGAUGUUGGGUUAAGUCCGUAACGAGCGCAACCCUGUCCUUAGUUACCAGCACGUUAUGGUGGGCACUCUAAGGAGACUGCCGGUGACAAACCGGAGGAAGGUGGGGAGUGACGUCAAGUCAUCAUGGCCCUUACGGCCUGGGCUACACACGUGCUACAAUGGUCGGUACAAAGGGUUGCCAAGCCGCGAGGUGGAGCUAAUCCCAUAAAACCGAUCGUAGUCCGGAUCGCAGUCUGCAACUCGACUGCGUGAAGUCGGAAUCGCUAGUAAUCGUGAAUCAGAAUGUCACGGUGAAUACGUUCCCGGGCCUU
rnacentral:rRNA from 1 species